CUAAAUUGAACUAAGUGCAAAAUUGUGAGAUGUGAUUAAAUAGCUUAAGUAUUUAAAAAGAUGGAUUUAAAGAGCAAUUAGACCCAAAGGUUAAUGGCUGGACGGUUUGGGUAUGAAAUAAGCAAGAAAACAAUGUGAACAAGGGACAAAAUUGGAAUUAGCAUAAAAGUUAAUAGUUAAAAAAAUGAUGUAAUUGAAAAUCUAGACAUUUCUUCAUCUUUCUCAGCCAAAAACGCCGUAGCAGGUCUCCUAUGCUGGUUUUUCAUAUUUUUGCACCAUUUUUGACAAGCCAGCUCAGAAAUCGGGAACGGUCGGAGGCCCACUCACACUAUCCGUAUACCAUCUUGGCAUAAUGGCUUGUAUGUUUUGAGUAUGGCAUGUAUAGCAUUAUAAUCAUUUUGUAUAUAUGGUCUUAUGAUAUGGAUAUUGAGUGGUAUGGAAAUGCUUGGUAAUGAUUAGCCAUUGGAAUGGCUAAUCAUGAUCAUAUUUGGUGUUAUGUAUGCUAAAUUGCUAGCUAAUCCAUGGAAACCAUGAAAUAGGCAAAAUUUACCAUAAAA